UACAGAGGUCUCAAGCGUUGUUCGGAUUCAUUGGGCGUAAAGGGUGUGUAGGUGGCGCGCUAAGUCGGGUGUGAAAUUUCGGAGCUUAACUCCGAAACUGCAUUCGAUACUGCCGUGCUUGAGGACUGGAGAGGAGACUGGAAUUUACGGUGUAGCGGUGAAAUGCGUAGAUAUCGUAAGGAAGACCAGUGGCGAAGGCGGGUCUCUGGACAGUUCCUGACGCUGAGGCACGAAGGCCAGGGGGAGCAAACGGG
rnacentral:rRNA from 1 species